rnacentral:rRNA from 1 species
UACAGAGGUGGCAAGCGUUGUUCGGAAUUACUGGGCGUAAAGGGCGCGUAGGCGGCUCGACAAGUCCCGCGUGAAAGCCCCCGGCUCAACUGGGGAACUGCGCGGGAAACUGUCGGACUUGAGUUCGGGAGAGGGAAGCGGAAUUCCGGGUGUAGCGGUGAAAUGCGUAGAUAUCCGGAGGAACACCGGUGGCGAAGGCGGCUUCCUGGACCGACACUGACGCUGAGGCGCGAAAGCAUGGGGAGCGAACAGG